UACAGAGGGGGCAAGCGUUGUUCGGAAUUACUGGGCGUAAAGGGCGCGUAGGCGGCCUGUUAAGUCGAACGUGAAAUCCCCGGGCUCAACCCGGGAACUGCGUCCGAUACUGGCAGGCUCGAAUCCGGGAGAGGGAUGCGGAAUUCCAGGUGUAGCGGUGAAAUGCGUAGAUAUCUGGAGGAACACCGGUGGCGAAGGCGGCGACCUGGUCCUUGACUGACGCUGAGGCGCGAAAGCGUGGGGAGCAAACAGG
rnacentral:rRNA from 1 species